CGGGAUGUAGCGCAGUCUGGUAGCGCACUACACUGGGGGUGUAGUGGUCGUCGGUUCAAAUCCGGCCAUCCCGACCA
rnacentral:tRNA from 5 species